AGAGUUUGAUCCUUUAUGAGGAUGAACGCUGGCGGCGUGCCUAACACAUGCACUUUGAGCGAUUCUCUUCGGAGAAGAGCGGCGGACGGGUGAGUAACGCGUGGGUAACCUGCCCUGUACACACGGAUAACAUACCGAAAGGUAUGCUAAUACGGGAUAAUAUAUAAGAGUCGCAUGACUUUUAUAUCAAAGAUUUUUCGGUACAGGAUGGACCCGCGUCUGAUUAGCUUGUUGGCGGGGUAACGGCCCACCAAGGCGACGAUCAGUAGCCGACCUGAGAGGGUGAUCGGCCACAUUGGAACUGAGGCACGGUCCAAACUCCUACGGGAGGCAGCAGUGGGGAAUAUUGCACAAUGGGCGCAAGCCUGAUGCAGCAACGCCGCGUGAGCGAUGAAGGCCUUCGGGUCGUAAAGCUCUGUCCUCAAGGAAGAUAAUGACGGUACUUGAGGAGGAAGCCCCGGCUAACUACGUGCCAGCAGCCGCGGUAAUACGUAGGGGGCUAGCGUUAUCCGGAUUUACUGGGCGUAAAGGGUGCGUAGGCGGUCUUUCAAGUCAGGAGUUAAAGGCUACGGCUCAACCGUAGUAAGCUCCUGAUACUGUCUGACUUGAGUGCAGGAGAGGAAAGCGGAAUUCCCAGUGUAGCGGUGAAAUGCGUAGAUAUUGGGAGGAACACCAGUAGCGAAGGCGGCUUUCUGGACUGUAACUGACGCUGAGGCACGAAAGCGUGGGGAGCAAACAGGAUUAGAUACCCUGGUAGUCCACGCUGUAAACGAUGAGUACUAGGUGUCGGAAGGUUCCCCCCUUCGGUGCCGCAGCUAACGCAUUAAG
rnacentral:rRNA from 1 species